rnacentral:rRNA from 3 species
UGAGAGUUUGAUCCUGGCUCAGGAUGAACGCUGGCGGUAUGCCUUAAGCAUGCAAGUCGAACGAUCUUGUCCUUUGGACAAGAAUUUUCAAAUUAUCCAAUAAUCCAAUAAAUACCAAUUAUCCAAUAAGAGCAAAAUUCUUAUUUGAUUAUUUGAGAAUUGGAUUAUUUGUUGAUUGGAAAUUCUCGCCCAGAGGGCGAGGUAGUGGCAGACGGGUGAGUAAUAGUAAGGAACGUACCCCAAGGUCAAGUAUAGCCUUCCGAAAGGAGGGGUAAUACUGGAUAGUUCCCGAUUUAAUCGGGUAAAGCACGUAACUGUGCGCCAUGGGAGCGGCCUUAUUCCUAUCAGCUUGUUGGUAGGGUAAAAGCCUACCAAGGCGAUGACGGGUAGGGGGCGUGAGAGCGUGACCCCCCACAAUGGCACUGAGACACGGGCCAUACACCUACGGGUGGCAGCAACUGGGAAUAGUUGUCAAUGGACGAAAGUCUGAACACGCGAUACCGCGUGAGGGAUGAAGUAUCUCGGUAUGUAAACCUCUUUUGCCAGAUCAUCGAGAUUUGGCGAAUAAGCACCUACAAACUACGUGCCAGCAGUCGCGGUAAUACGUAGGGUGCAAGCGUUAUCCGGAUUUACUGGGCGUAAAGUGUCGCGUAGGCGACUUCUUGUGUCACAUCUUAAAGAGUAAGGCUUAACCUUGCCGUUGGAUGUGAGACUAAGAAGAUUUGAAGAAGAGAGGAGUACCUGGAACUGACGGUGGAGUAGUGAAAUGCGUUGAUAUCGUCAGGAACACCAAAAGCGAAGGCAAGGUACCGGCUCUUUCUUGACGCUGAGGCACGAAAGCUAGGGGAGCGAAGCAGAUUAGAGACCUGCGUAGUCCUAGCCCUAAACGCAUGGAUGCUAGAUACCCCGUCGCAAAACCUAUGGGUUUUGCGACGAAAUCAAAAAUCAAAAUGUCCUGCAGAGCAGGAUCUGGCUUUGCCAGACAAAAUUCAAAAAUAUACAAGGUAUCCCUUCGGGACUAUUUAUAAAUUUGUCCUUGUUAAAUUUUGAUCUUUGACUUUUGAAUUUUAGAUUUCGCAAAAACGUAGUUUUUGCGAUGGGGUGUCGCAAGCUAACGCGUUAAGCAUCCCGCCUGGGGAGUACGAACGCAAGUUUAAAACUCAAAGGAAUUGACGGGGACCCGCACAACCAGUGGAGCAUGUGGUUCAAUUCGAGACGAAGCGAAAGACCUCACCAGGGUUCGACAUGUAACUGCAUGUCUAAGAAAUUAGGCAGCCUUCGAGGGUGUUACAAAGCUGCUGCAUGGCUGUCGUCAGCUCGUGCCGUGGGGUGUUGGCUUAAGUGCCAGAACGAGCGCAACCCCCAUCCAAUGUUAAAUUAUCAUUGGAGACCGCCCGCUUCUUUUUGAACUCACGAGUUCAAAAAGAGUUGCUUAGUUAUUAGUUAAUUAGUUACUUAGUAAUUUUCUAAGUAACUAAGCAUCUAAUCAACUAUGUAACUCAAAUUCGUAGAGUUUGAAAAGAAGCGGGAGGAAGGAGGGGACGACGUCAAGUCAGCACGGCGCUUAUGCCCUGGGCAACACACAUCCUACAAUGGCGAAAAACAACGAGAUGCAAGCUCGCGAGUGCAAGCCAAUCUCUGAAAUUUCGCCUCAGUUCAGAUUGCAGUCUGCAACUCGACUGCAUGAAGCCGGAAUUGGUAGUAAUCGCAGAUCAGCAUGGCUGCGGUGAAUACGUUCUCGGGUCUUGUACACACCGCCCGUCAAGUCAACAAAGUUGGAAGUAGCUGAAACUUGGGUUUCCCAAACUAAGCUAAGCCCAGCGAUGGGGACUAAGUCGUUGGCCUAUAAUAAUAGGAGUUGCGACCUUUAACAGCAAUGUUUCUGAAAAAUGUACCUAUAUCGGUGAACCCUACGUUUAGAUAUACUAAAUAAGGGAAUACCGAGGGAAGUUUAGAUGAAGCAUGGUCCAACAAAUACUAGAUUUUUGAAAGAUAAGAAAUCACAUCUUAAGUUGUCCCAACUACAAAAAGAUUUUGUUAUCGGAACAAUAUUAGGAGAUGGUUGCUUAAUCACUUCAAGGUCUGGCAAAGCUGCGCGCUUACAAGUAAGUACAGAAAGCAAAGUAUCAUGAAUUUGUUUUCUGGAAAUACAAUUUUCUUAAAGAUUGGAUUACAACAAAGCCACGGUAUGAUCGUUAUAAUGAUUCAGCCGUAUUUCGUACUAUUUCACAUCCAGAUUUAAUGGCAAUAAAACGUCUUUUUUAUAAGGACGAUAUAAAAAUUGUUCCGGGAAAUAUAAAAGAUUUACUUAAAAAUCCUUUAAGUUUAGCUAUUUGGUUUAUGGAUGAUGGAAAUGGUCAUAAGAGAAAUCCAUAUUUAAGAUUAAGCACGUAUGCAUUUAAAGAAGCAGGGAAUAAACUUUUACAAACCUGUUUGAGAGAAAAUUUUUUAUUAGAUGCAAAAAUUUUCCAUGACAAUAAGGGUUUUUAUCUGUGCUUUUUAAAGGACAAUGCACUUAAACUUUAUAAAUUAAUCAAGCCAUUUAUUAUUCCGUGCAUGGAAUACAAAUUUAUAAAGGUUAAUUCUAUAACCCCGUAGAGACUACACGGUACCUCCCGACGGCCGUCGGGAUGAAGAUAUAGUCCAUGCCUCUGGAAACACGAGGAAUAACAUGAACAAGGUAUCCCUAGCCGAAGCUGGGGAUGGAUCACCUCCUU